rfam:Camelus ferus unplaced genomic scaffold scaffold856, whole genome shotgun sequence.
AGGGAAAUAGCUCAGUGGUAGAGCUCAUGCUUAGCUUGCAUGAGGUCCUGGGUCCAGUCCUCAGUACCUCCA